AGAGUUUGAUCCUGGCUCAGGAUGAACGCUGGCGGCGUGCCUAACACAUGUAAGUCGAACGGUGAACCUUGCUUUUAUAGUGAGGGGAUCAGUGGCGAACGGGUGAGUAACACGUAGGUGACCUGCCCCAGAGAGGAGAAUAACCAUGCGAAAGCGUGGCUAAUACUCCAUACGAUCGGUUAUUCGUUUAGCCGAUUAAAGCUCCGGCGCUCUGGGAGGGGCCUGCGGCCCAUCAGCUAGUUGGUAGGGUAAUGGCCUACCAAGGCUAUGACGGGUAGGGGGCGUGAGAGCGUGACCCCCCACACUGGUACUGAAACACGGACCAUACACCUACGGGUGGCAGCAGUAGGGAAUAUUGGACAAUGGGCGAAAGCCUGAUCCAGCAACGCCGCGUGCAUGAUGAAGGCUCUAGGGUCGUAAAAUGCUUUUCUGAGGGAAGAGAAAGGACGGUACCUCAGGAAUAAGUCUCGGCUAACUACGUGCCAGCAGCCGCGGUAAUACGUAGGAGGCGAGCGUUAUCCGGAUUUACUGGGCGUAAAGCGUGUGCAGGCGGUUCGGUAAGUUGGAUGUGAAAUCUCUUGGCUCAACCGAGAGAGGUCGUUCAAUACUGCCAGACUAGAGGACGGUAGAGGAAAGUGGAAUUCCCGGUGUAGUGGUGAAAUGCGUAGAUAUCGGGAGGAACACCAGUGGCGAAGGCGGCUUUCUGGGCCGUUCCUGACGCUAAGACACGAAAGCGUGGGUAGCGAACGGGAUUAGAUACCCCGGUAGUCCACGCUGUAAACGAUGGAUACUAGGUGUAGCGGGUAUUGACCCCUGCUGUGCCGGAGUUAACGCGAUAAGUAUCCCGCCUGGGGACUACGGCCGCAAGGCUAAAACUCAAAGGAAUUGACGGGGGCCCGCACAAGCAGCGGAGCGUGUGGUUUAAUUCGAAGAUACGCGAAGAACCUUACCUGGGUUUGACAUAUAAGUAGUAGAGAAGCGAAAGCGGAUCGACCCUUCGGGGAGCUUAAACAGGUGUUGCAUGGCUGUCGUCAGCUCGUGUCGUGAGAUGUUGGGUUAAGUCCCGCAACGAGCGCAACCCUCGUCGUUAGUUAUAAGUGUCUAGCGAGACAGCCGGUAUCACACCGGAGGAAGGUGGGGACGACGUCAAGUCAGCAUGACCUUUAUAUCCAGGGCGACACACACGCUACAAUGGUCGGCACAAUGGGCAGCCACACCGCGAGGUGGAGCGAAUCCUGAAAGUCGAUCUCAGUUCGGAUAGCAGUCUGCAACUCGACUGCUUGAAGGUGGAGUUGCUAGUAACCGCGCGUCAGCCAUAGUGCGGUGAAUACUGUUCCCGGGCCUUGUACACACCGCCCGUCACGUCAUGGAAGCUGGUAACACCUAAAGAGGGUGUCCGAACCGAAAGGGAGGAGCUUUUUAGGGUGGGACUGGUAACUGGGACGAAGUCGUAACAAGGUAGCUGUAGCGGAAGCUGCGGCUGGAUCACCUCCUU
rnacentral:rRNA from 1 species